rnacentral:rRNA from 1 species
AAUAGAUACCCUGGUAGUCCACGCCGUAAACGAUGGAUACUAGCUGUUCGGAGUAAUCUGAGUGGCUAAGCGAAAGUGAUAAGUAUCCCACCUGGGGAGUACGUUCGCAAGAAUGAAACUCAAAGGAAUUGACGGGGGCCCGCACAAGCGGUGGAGCAUGUGGUUUAAUUCGAUGAUACGCGAGGAACCUUACCAGGGCUUAAAUGUAGAUUGACAGGUUUAGAGAUAGACUUUUCUUCGGACAAUUUACAAGGUGCUGCAUGGUUGUCGUCAGCUCGUGCCGUGAGGUGUCAGGUUAAGUCCUAUAACGAGCGCAACCCCUGUUGUUAGUUGCCAGCGAGUAAUGUCGGGAACUCUAACAAGACUGCCAGUGCAAACUGUGAGGAAGGUGGGGAUGACGUCAAAUCAUCACGGCCCUUACGUCCUGGGCUACACACGUGCUACAAUGGUAGGGACAGAGAGCAGCCACUUCGCGAGAAGGAGCGAAUCUAUAAACCCUAUCACAGUUCGGAUCGGAGUCUGC